ACUGAAAGUGAAGAGUUUGAUCAUGGCUCAGAUUGAACGCUGGCGGCAGGCCUAACACAUGCAAGUCGAGCGGUAGCACAGAGAGCUUGCUCUCGGGUGACGAGCGGCGGACGGGUGAGUAAUGUCUGGGAAACUGCCUGAUGGAGGGGGAUAACUACUGGAAACGGUAGCUAAUACCGCAUAACGUCGCAAGACCAAAGUGGGGGACCUUCGGGCCUCAUGCCAUCAGAUGUGCCCAGAUGGGAUUAGCUAGUAGGUGGGGUAACGGCUCACCUAGGCGACGAUCCCUAGCUGGUCUGAGAGGAUGACCAGCCACACUGGAACUGAGACACGGUCCAGACUCCUACGGGAGGCAGCAGUGGGGAAUAUUGCACAAUGGGCGCAAGCCUGAUGCAGCCAUGCCGCGUGUGUGAAGAAGGCCUUCGGGUUGUAAAGCACUUUCAGCGGGGAGGAAGGCGGUGAGGUUAAUAACCUCAUCGAUUGACGUUACCCGCAGAAGAAGCACCGGCUAACUCCGUGCCAGCAGCCGCGGUAAUACGGAGGGUGCAAGCGUUAAUCGGAAUUACUGGGCGUAAAGCGCACGCAGGCGGUCUGUCAAGUCGGAUGUGAAAUCCCCGGGCUCAACCUGGGAACUGCAUUCGAAACUGGCAGGCUAGAGUCUUGUAGAGGGGGGUAGAAUUCCAGGUGUAGCGGUGAAAUGCGUAGAGAUCUGGAGGAAUACCGGUGGCGAAGGCGGCCCCCUGGACAAAGACUGACGCUCAGGUGCGAAAGCGUGGGGAGCAAACAGGAUUAGAUACCCUGGUAGUCCACGCCGUAAACGAUGUCGAUUUGGAGGUUGUGCCCUUGAGGCGUGGCUUCCGGAGCUAACGCGUUAAAUCGACCGCCUGGGGAGUACGGCCGCAAGGUUAAAACUCAAAUGAAUUGACGGGGGCCCGCACAAGCGGUGGAGCAUGUGGUUUAAUUCGAUGCAACGCGAAGAACCUUACCUGGUCUUGACAUCCACAGAACUUUCCAGAGAUGGAUUGGUGCCUUCGGGAACUGUGAGACAGGUGCUGCAUGGCUGUCGUCAGCUCGUGUUGUGAAAUGUUGGGUUAAGUCCCGCAACGAGCGCAACCCUUAUCCUUUGUUGCCAGCGGUCCGGCCGGGAACUCAAAGGAGACUGCCAGUGAUAAACUGGAGGAAGGUGGGGAUGACGUCAAGUCAUCAUGGCCCUUACGACCAGGGCUACACACGUGCUACAAUGGCAUAUACAAAGAGAAGCGACCUCGCGAGAGCAAGCGGACCUCAUAAAGUAUGUCGUAGUCCGGAUUGGAGUCUGCAACUCGACUCCAUGAAGUCGGAAUCGCUAGUAAUCGUAGAUCAGAAUGCUACGGUGAAUACGUUCCCGGGCCUUGUACACACCGCCCGUCACACCAUGGGAGUGGGUUGCAAAAGAAGUAGGUAGCUUAACCUUCGGGAGGGCGCUUACCACUUUGUGAUUCAUGACUGGGGUGAAGUCGUAACAAGGUAACCGUAGGGGAACCUGCGGUUGGAUCACCUCCUUACCUUAAAGAA
rnacentral:rRNA from 1 species